rnacentral:rRNA from 1 species
UACGAAGGGGGCUAGCGUUGCUCGGAAUGACUGGGCGUAAAGGGCGCGUAGGCGGCCACCGCAAGUCGACUGUGAAAUCUCCGGGCUUAACCCGGAAAGGUCAGCCGAUACUGCGGGGCUAGAGUGCAGAAGGGGCAACUGGAAUUCUCGGUGUAGCGGUGAAAUGCGUAGAUAUCGAGAGGAACACCUGCGGCGAAGGCGGGUUGCUGGGCCGACACUGACGCUGUAGAGCGAAAGCGUGGGGAGCGAACAGG